rnacentral:rRNA from 1 species
GAUGAACGCUGGCGGCGUACCUAAUACAUGCAAGUCGAGCGAACAGACGAGGAGCUUGCUCCUCUGACGUUAGCGGCGGACGGGUGAGUAACACGUGGAUAACCUACCUAUAAGACUGGGAUAACUUCGGGAAACCGGAGCUAAUACCGGAUAAUAUAUUGAACCGCAUGGUUCAAUAGUGAAAGACGGUUUUGCUGUCACUUAUAGAUGGAUCCGCGCCGCAUUAGCUAGUUGGUAAGGUAACGGCUUACCAAGGCGACGAUGCGUAGCCGACCUGAGAGGGUGAUCGGCCACACUGGAACUGAGACACGGUCCAGACUCCUACGGGAGGCAGCAGUAGGGAAUCUUCCGCAAUGGGCGAAAGCCUGACGGAGCAACGCCGCGUGAGUGAUGAAGGUCUUCGGAUCGUAAAACUCUGUUAUUAGGGAAGAACAAAUGUGUAAGUAACUAUGCACGUCUUGACGGUACCGAAUCAGAAAGCCACGGCUAACUACGU